UGAGUAACCUGCCCUUAACUCUGGGAUAAGCCUGGGAAACUGGGUCUAAUACCGGAUAUGACUCCUCAUCGCAUGGUGGGGGGUGGAAAGCUUUUUGUGGUUUUGGAUGGACUCGCGGCCUAUCAGCUUGUUGGUGAGGUAAUGGCUCACCAAGGCUUCGACGGGUAGCCGGCCUGAGAGGGCGACCGGCCACACUGGGACUGAGAUACGGCCCAGACUCCUACGGGAGGCAG
rnacentral:rRNA from 1 species